rnacentral:misc_RNA from 1 species
UAAUCAUCUGUGACUUCCACCAAAAUUUCAUCUUUUGGUGUCCGCUUCAAAUCAUUCUGCUUUCCGUGGAUAAGAAUCUCUGAGGCUAUUGAAUUUAUGCUCUGGGAAUGCAUAUGGCUGCAUAUACAGAUUUUUCACCACCAUUUGCUAUAGUAGAAGGGAGUUACAGUAAGGAGAAUACAUCUGCUGUUAAAGAUGAAUUACUUGAGGAAUCAAAUGAAAUAAAG